rnacentral:rRNA from 1 species
UGAGGAAUAUUGGUCAAUGGGCGAGAGCCUGAACCAGCCAAGUAGCGUGCAGGAUGACGGCCCUAUGGGUUGUAAACUGCUUUUAUAUGGGAAUAAAGUGAGGGACGUGUCCCUUAUUGCAUGUACCAUACGAAUAAGGACCGGCUAAUUCCGUGCCAGCAGCCGCGGUAAUACGGAAGGUCCAGGCGUUAUCCGGAUUUAUUGGGUUUAAAGGGAGCGUAGGCUGUUUGUUAAGCGUGUUGUGAAAUGUAGGAGCUCAACUUUUAGAUUGCAGCGCGAACUGGCAGACUUGAGUGCGCACAACAUAGGCGGAAUUCAUGGUGUAGCGGUGAAAUGCUUAGAUAUCAUGACGAACUCCGAUUGCGAAGGCAGCUUACGGGAGCGCAACUGACGCUAAAGCUCGAAGGUGCGGGUAUCGAACAGG